UACGCGACUGGCGGCACCGGGGAUGGGUUUGACCAUCGGGGAGCUCGUCGUGGGGGUCGUCCGCCUGGGCCCCUGCG
rnacentral:ncRNA from 1 species